UGAGGAACAUGACCUUCGGCGGGGGAUAGCCGGCCCAACGGCCGGGUAAUACCGCGUACGACCACAUGGGGACAUCCCUGAGUGGUGAAAGCAGCAAUGCGCCGAUGGAGUGCCUCGCGGCCUAUCAGCUAGUUGGUGAGGUAACGGCUCACCAAGGCGACGACGGGUAGCUGGUCUGGAGGGGGAUGGGCCAGCCACAGUUGGGACUGAGACCACGGCCCAGACCUCCGUAGGGAGG
rnacentral:rRNA from 1 species